rnacentral:rRNA from 1 species
UACGGAGGGGGCUAGCGUUGUUCGGAAUUACUGGGCGUAAAGCGUACGUAGGCGGAUCAGAAAGUAUAGGGUGAAAUCCCAGGGCUCAACCCUGGAACUGCCUUAUAAACUCCUGGUCUUGAGUUCGAGAGAGGUGAGUGGAAUUCCAAGUGUAGAGGUGAAAUUCGUAGAUAUUUGGAGGAACACCAGUGGCGAAGGCGGCUCACUGGCUCGAUACUGACGCUGAGGUACGAAAGUGUGGGGAGCAAACAGG